UUGGUGGUGGUGGGUGGUGUUGUUGGUGUUGGUGUAAAGACAAAGGUCCCCCGUGUAGCCGUGUAGAGCUGUCGAGGGGGACAAGUGCCGUUCGAUUCGAGCAGCGACUCCGCGGCGGCCAACAACCGCGCCCGGCCGCCUUUGUCUCCCCGCGGUGGGGCGACGUUUUACAACCGACACCUACCCCAGGUACACUGAAGUCGACGCCGAGCCAGUGGGUCCCAGUGCUCACCCCACAUCGCUCCGCCGCAAAUCCGUCGUGAAACAGCAGCCGUCCGGGAGCACCAAGUAAAUUACCGUUAACCCCCGCACCUUCCGAGACGUAGGGACAUCAACCCAGUGCCGCCUGUUCGCCUAAAAUCACGCCACCCCUUCUGGAUCACAGCAGCUUCACUCCACGCUGCAAAUAAAAACGAAGGCGAGAGGUGGAAGCAAGUCUGAACUUCGGUCGACGUCAAAAGUAAACGUCUCGUAUAGGACCAUAACCGUGGAUCCUCCCGGUUUCAACCUUCCACGUCGCCAAUGGUCGACCAUUGACUGAAUCCGGACCGGGCACGGCCGAUGUAACUACCCGAUGCACAAAUGGCGCAUCAAAGAUUCGGCAGCCCACGAGUGCGGCCACGAAUCCCAAACGAUCGACCACAUUGUAAACAGCCGCCGUCUUUAUUGCUUUAAAGGAGGAACGGACGAGAUCCACUCUGCGUCUGAACAGACAAUUGAGUGGAUAACAAAUCUAAAAUUACAUCUUUUUAUCUGCUGCUAUGAAUCCAUAUGAGAGACGAAUAGAAGGCAGAGGAGCGUUUGGGGUGAAAUGGACAGGGAUUAGACCCAGGCGGUCCUCUUGUCAGGGUGGGGUUGGUAACAAUUGCUCGGUUUAGACCAGGGGUGGGCAAAUUUCUUGACUCGCGGGCCACAAUGGGUUCUACAAUUUGACAGGGGCCGGGCCAAGGAACAGAUGGAUGGAGUGUUUGUGUGAACUAAUGUAAAUGACAUGUAAAAAUCAUUAAAUGAAAGCAUUUGGCCUUUAACAGGUAGCAAAGCAUUUAUUUGCAAGGCAAUUUAACAAAUUGCACGAACAUAAACAAUACAAAAUCAUGUCGUAAUGUGACUGAUCAAACAUCAUGAAAACAUCUGAGGCCUGCGCCCAAAUAAUGACCUCACUUGAACUUCUUUAUUGUCUACAUUAACAGGUUAGAGCAGCCACGCAGGCUGUGUGUCGGAGAUUUGGCUCCAACCUCGCUGCAGCAACACAUCAUCACUUUCAGUGGGAACAGUGUUGUUGAUCUCCCAUUUUUGCCAGUGCAUCCAAGUCUGGAGUUAUUUUGGUUGUGGCAAUUCUCAGGAUAGAUCUGAGGUGCCGAUCCAUUAACUUUGAUCUGUGACAGGCUUUGUUGGCGUUCAUGACGCUGAAUGUCUGCUCACACACAUAAGUCGAGCCAAACAAAGUCAGCAUCUUCUGUGCAGGCCUCCGGAGAUUUGGGAACGUGGCUCUGUUAAGUGAAGCAUAAAAGUCAUUCAGUUUAACAGAGUUGAACUUCUCCUUUAGGACGGAGUCAUACUGAAGAUCUAUCAGUUCCAACUGCAGCUCCUGUGGUGCUGUUUCAGAGUCUUGUGACAAGGGACGGGACACCAGCUGAAGUGACUGUUCAAUGUUUUCGAAAUCAGAGAACCUACGGCAGAAUUCUCCGUGCAGGUGCUCAAGUGAUUUGCUGUAUUUUUUUGCGUUUCGCAGUGCCUCUUCCUGCAUGGCAAGUGUGGGGAAAUGAGCGAAAGAUUUGUUCGCAAUUUGUUUGGAGAACAAAGUGAGCUUGGAUUUGAAGGCUUUCACAUGUUUGUACAUGUCGUGAACAAACUGGUCUUUCCCCUGCAGUUUCACAUUCAGCUCAUUCAUGUGUGAAAAUAUGUCCACAGAAAACGCGAAGCCACUAAGCCAGUUCUUGUCGCUUAGCUCAGGGAAUUCGUCAGAUUUCCCCAUCAACUCCAAAAAUGCGAUGAUGUCCUCUUACAGCUCCCACACUCGUUGUAACACUUUCCCCAAACUUAACCAGUGGACACGAGAGUGGUACAGCAAGUCCUGAUGAUCCGCAUCAGUUUCCUACAGGAACGUAAUAAACUGACGGUGCUGAAGUCCCCUUGCUCGUAUAAAGUUAACAAGUUUUACGGCUGGAUUCACGACAUGAUUAAGCUGCAAUACAGACUUACACAGGGAUUCCUGAUGGAUGAUGCAGUGAAGGAAAAUAAGAUCCUGGUCAGGGUUUUCCUCUUUCAAUUUAUUCUGGAUUCUUUUCAGCAGCCCAACAUUUUUCCAGUUAAAUUUGGCGAUCCAUCCGUUGUGACAUUGACAAGUUUACUUCAAGGUAGCUUCAUUCUUUCGAUGACAGCAGACACCUGGUUAUACAAGUCCUCUCCCCGCGUUGUUCCUUUCAGGGACUCCAUGGUCAAAAACUCCUCUGUUAUCGCAAAACUGUCGUCAAUGCCUCGGAUAAAAAUGAGGAGCUGAGCAGUGUCUUUUACUUCUGUACUUUCAUCCAGUGCUAGUGAAUAUAACUCAAAGGAAUCAGACCUUUUGUUUAAUUGGCUGGCUAUAUUUUAAUCACUCAGUUCCACACGGUGAGUCACAGUCCUGCGUGAUAUACUGACUUUUUCAAAUUUGCUUUUAACCUCCGGACACAAGAUGUCUGCUGUCUGUACCAUGCAUUCUUUUACAAACUCGCCUUCGGAGAAAGGCUUGCUAGCCGUUGCUAUUUCGAAUGCCACCAAAAAACUUGCCUUGGUAGUUGACUCUUGAAUCGCAGUUUGUCGGUGAAAAAAAUGUUGAGUCUGUAAAUUAGCCGCCAACCUCUGAGCCGUAGCCGUCCAUUCUUGCAUUGACUGCUUGCUAGCGUAGUUAGCAUGCUUCGUAGCAAAGUGACGGCUGAUGUUGUACUCCUUAAAAACUGCAACAGUUUCUCGGCAUAUCAGGCAUACAGCCUUUGAUUGGACUUCAGUGAAAAGUUUUUUUGUUCACUCCGUGUUAAACACUCGGCACUCAAUGUCCACUUUUCGUUUCCUUGAUCUGCUUAUUUUACAGAAGGGCUCACAGGGCAAAGCGAAAAAGUGAAGGGAUCACCGUAUCUAACUCAGCAAUGUAAACAAACCCUGAAAAUGGCGCUGACGGCCCACAAUGCAUUGCGAGAUCAUGUGCCGUUUCGAGCCCUAUACACCACACUUCCGGUCAAAGUGCGCCAUCUAAUGGGGAAAUGGGGGCAUUACAGGAGAAAGGUAACAUUUAAUAAUAAUAAUAUUUGGACACGUUCGGCGGGCCGGAUUACUGACUACAGACAAGUGAUACAGCUGUGUAGGAUUAAACAGAGUAAUAAUAUGUAAGAUACAUUCCUUUCAUAUGCAUAAACUAUAUAGAUACUUUAGUUAAUUGUAGUUAUCCUGUUGCAUAUACUCUAUUUUUGUUAGCGAGUUAAUUGUAAAUAAUAUUUACCCAAGAUAAACAAGUUGGACUUUCACCCGCUGUUUUUUCGGUUGCAGAGUUUAUUGACGUAACCGAUCAUACAACUCACCACCUCUCCAUCAAACGUCACCACACGGCCACCGCUGCUUAAGCACGGAGACAAAUUUAGAAAAAUGCAAUUUUUUUAUUUGGGUUUACAUACUUAUGUUAGUACUAAGACUGUCACGGUUUAUUGUGAAAUCGUCUGAGAGUUGCUGAGUAAACCGAUGCUCUAUAUUGGACCUUUUUCGUGAGCUUACAAGAACUUGGAUUUCUAAUUAUUAUAAUACUUAUGAAAUCCAUCAUAUAAUAAAAGAUUACUAUAACGUUGACAGCUUUAUUACAUGGGCCUUCACAGUUAUGGGCUAUUGUGCACAGUGCUACAUGAACAAUAAUGAUACAAAAAAUGAUGCUGUAAUCGUGUUGAGUGUAAAUAGUUUUCCUGAGGUGGACCGGUAGCUCAUCAAUUAGAACCCUGAUCUGGUACCGUUGAGUUCUGGUAGUCGAAUCUAGGCAGCCACUUGUGAUGGAGCGAGGUUCUCACGUGCAUCGAGUUGACAGUCAUAUGCUGGUUGCCAACACCUACGCAAAAAUUCCAUCACGUAAAGUUUGGUUACGCGCAGUUUGACUAAAUUCGAGCUCUGAAAAUUGAAAAUUAAUCUGUUUUACUGCUGUCUGACGUAUUACUCUCAGUGGCAGAGUGGCUGGCAGAGUGCUGCCCUCUACCCUGUAGACCAGUGGUCACUUGAAGGGAUCUUUAAGUGGUCGAUCUGUGAUAUCCACUUCCAUGGGCUGUUCUCUCAACAUAAAGGGUUUCACUGCCCUGGGAGACAUCAACAAUGGAUUAUUCAUCUCAUAACAUGGUCAGGAUAUAAGCAUGGAAAAAGACGAACACGUUUUUUAAAAGUAUAACUUGUGUUCCAGUGUGAAUAAACAUUAUUUU